GCCUCCUUAGCUCAGCUGGAUAGAGCACCUCCCUUCUAAGGAGGUGGCCGAAAGUUCGAAUCUUUCAGGGGGUGCCA
rnacentral:tRNA from 1 species